AACGCGAAGAACCUUACCCAGACUUGACAUGCAGUGGACAGUCCUAGAGAUAGGAUCUCCCUUAGGGGCCGCUGCACAGGUGCUGCAUGGCUGUCGUCAGCUCGUGCCGUGAGGUGUUUGGUUAAGUCCAGCAACGAGCGCAACCCUUAUCAUUAGUUGCCAACAUUUAAGGUGGGAACUCUAAUGAGACUGCCUGGGUUAACCAGGAGGAAGGUGAGGAUGACGUCAAGUCCGCAUGGCCCUUAUGUCUGGGGCUACACACGUGCUACAAUGGUCGGUACAAUGGGCAGCCAAACCGCGAGGUGGAGCAAAUCCAAAAAAGCCGAUCCCAGUUCAGAUUGUAGUCUGCAACUCGACUACAUGAAGAUGGAAUUGCUAGUAAUGGCGUGUCAGCAACAGCGCCGUGAAUACGUUCCCGGGCCUUGUA
rnacentral:rRNA from 1 species